UGAGUAGAAAGAAAAUAAAGAAAAGUUCCUUCGCAUCUCCAUGUGAUUGACUUGUAGGGUACUAUUCUUUCAAUCUUCCACUUGCACUAAAGCCAAUUGCCCCUAUACCUAAUGCCCAUGCAAUUAGGGUGGUGAUUACACUGCUGCUAUAUAAGGCUUAGUGAAUUGGUCCAUUAUGUUGUUUUUAAUAUUAACUUAUUUUAUGAACAAAAUCAUGAAUGAGGUGAAAGUGCCUAGGAUGUACAUGGGUACCUAGUGAGAUCACACCC
rnacentral:lncRNA from 1 species